CCUACGGGAGGCAGCAGUAGGGAAUCUUCCACAAUGGGCGAAAGCCUGAUGGAGCAACGCCGCGUGGGUGAAGAAGGUUUUCGGAUCGUAAAACCCUGUUGUUAGAGAAGAAAGUGCGUGAGAGUAACUGUUCACGUUUCGACGGUAUCUAACCAGAAAGCCACGGCUAACUACGUGCCAGCAGCCGCGGUAAUACGUAGGUGGCAAGCGUUAUCCGGAUUUAUUGGGCGUAAAGGGAACGCAGGCGGUUUUGUAAGUCUGAUGUGAAAGCCUUCGGCUUAACCGGAGAGGGGCAUUGGAAGCUGGGAGACUUGAGUGCAGAAGAGGAGAGUGGAACUCCAUGUGUAGCGGUGAAAGGCGUAGAUAUAUGGAGGAACACCAGUGGCGAAAGCGGCUCUCUGGUCUGUAACUGACGCUGAGGUUCGAAAGCGUGGGGAGCAAACAGGAUUAGAUACCCGAGUAGUC
rnacentral:rRNA from 1 species